AGUUUGAUCCUGGCUCAGAUUGAACGCUGGCGGCAGGCCUAACACAUGCAGGUCGAGCGGUAGCACGGGAGAGCUUGCUCUCUGGGUGACGAGCGGCGGACGGGUGAGUAAUGUCUGGGAAACUGCCUGAUGGAGGGGGAUAACUACUGGAAACGGUAGCUAAUACCGCAUGACCUCGCAAGAGCAAAGUGGGGGACCUUCGGGCCUCACGCCAUCGGAUGUGCCCAGAUGGGAUUAGCUAGUAGGCGGGGUAAUGGCUCACCUAGGCGACGAUCCCUAGCUGGUCUGAGAGGAUGACCAGCCACACUGGAACUGAGACACGGUCCAGACUCCUACGGGAGGCAGCAGUGGGGAAUAUUGCACAAUGGGCGCAAGCCUGAUGCAGCCAUGCCGCGUGUGUGAAGAAGGCCUUAGGGUUGUAAAGCACUUUCAGCGAGGAGGAAGGCGUUGUAGUUAAUAGCUGCAGCGAUUGACGUUACUCGCAGAAGAAGCACCGGCUAACUCCGUGCCAGCAGCCGCGGUAAUACGGAGGGUGCAAGCGUUAAUCGGAAUUACUGGGCGUAAAGCGCACGCAGGCGGUUUGUUAAGUCAGAUGUGAAAUCCCCGAGCUUAACUUGGGAACUGCAUUUGAAACUGGCAAGCUAGAGUCUUGUAG
rnacentral:rRNA from 1 species